UGGGGAAUAUUGGACAAUGGGGGAAACCCUGAUCCAGCAAUGCCGCGUGUGUGAAGAAGGCCUUCGGGUUGUAAAGCACUUUUAUCGGGAACGAAACGUUGUCGGUUAAUACCCGGCAUAACUGACGGUACCCGAGGAAUAAGCACCGGCUAACUCCGUGCCAGCAGCCGCGGUAAUACGGAGGGUGCAAGCGUUAAUCGGAAUUACUGGGCGUAAAGGGCUCGUAGGCGGCCAACUAAGUCGGACGUGAAAUCCCCAGGCUCAACCUGGGAACUGCGUCCGAUACUGGAUGGCUUGAAUCCGGGAGAGGGAUGCAGAAUUCCAGGUGUAGCGGUGAAAUGCGUAGAUAUCUGGAGGAAUACCGGUGGCGAAGGCGGCAUCCUGGACCGGCAUUGACGCUGAGGAGCGAAAGCCAGGGGAGCAAAC
rnacentral:rRNA from 1 species